rnacentral:rRNA from 1 species
AAGGAUCAUUACUGAGAUAGGGUCCUUCGGGGCCCGACCUCCAACCCAAUGUUUAUUAUACCUCUGUUGCCUCGGCGGGUCGCCGGCGUGCCUUUACGGGCCGCCGCCGUCGGCCCCCUAACAAGGGCUCUCGUGUGCCCGCCGCAGGACCUAUUAAACUCUUUUUAAACAAGUAUUCUGAGUGGGAAUUAAAUAACUUCAAAACUUUCAACAACGGAUCUCUUGGUUCUGGCAUCGAUGAAGAACGCAGCGAAAUGCGAUAAGUAAUGUGAAUUGCAGAAUUCAGUGAAUCAUCGAAUCUUUGAACGCACAUUGCGCCCUUUGGUAUUCCGAAGGGCAUGCCUGUUCGAGCGUCAUUAGACCAAUCAAGCUAUGCUUGGCCUUGGGCUGUCGCCCCCUCUCCGGAGGUGGGCGUGCCCCAAAUGACCCCCGGCGAAGUCGAUCCGGCCCUGGGCGUAGUAGAAAUUAUCACGUCGGGAGGGUCCGGUUGGCUUUUGCCGUCGAAACACCAACUCUUUUUCAAAGGUUGACCUCGGAUCAGGUAGGGAUACCCGCUGAACUUAA